rnacentral:rRNA from 1 species
AACGUAGGACGCGAGCGUUAUCCGGAGUUACUGGGCGUAAAGCGCGGGCAGGCGGUCUGACAAGUCUGAUGUGAAAUCUCCUGGCUUAACCGGGAGAGGCCAUUGGAAACUGACAGGCUGGAGGGCAGUAGAGGUAGGCGGAAUUCCGGGUGGAGUGGUGAAAUGCGUAGAGAUCCGGAGGAACACCAGAGGCGAAGGCGGCCUACUGGGCUGCACCUGACGCUGAGCCGCGAAAGCCAGGGGAGCGAACGGG